rnacentral:rRNA from 1 species
UACGUAGGGGGCAAGCGUUGUCCGGAAUCAUUGGGCGUAAAGAGCGCGUAGGCGGCCCUGUAAGUCCGCUGUGAAAGUCAAGGGCUCAACCCUUGAAUGCCGGUGGAUACUGCAGGGCUAGAGUCCGGAAGGGGAGCAUGGAAUUCCUGGUGUAGCGGUGAAAUGCGCAGAUAUCAGGAGGAACACCAGUGGCGAAGGCGGUGCUCUGGGCCGGAACUGACGCUGAGGAGCGAAAGCGUGGGGAGCAAACAGG